rnacentral:rRNA from 1 species
AUACGGAGGAUGCGAGCGUUAUCCGGAUUUAUUGGGUUUAAAGGGAGCGUAGGCGGGAGCUUAAGUCAGCGGUUAAAUGGUGCGGCUCAACCGUGCCCUGCCGUUGAAACUGGGUUUCUUGAGAGUGCAAGAGGCGGAUGGAAUUCAUGGUGUAGUGGUGAAAUGCUUAGAUAUCAUGAAGAACUCCGAGUGCGAAGGCAGUCCGCUGGGGCACGUCUGACGCUGAUGCUCGAAGGUGCGGGAAUCAAACAGGAUUAGAUACCCUGGUAGUCCGCACGGUAAACGAUGAUUACCCGCUGUCGGCGGCAGACAGUCGGCGGCCAAGCGAAAGCGAUAAGUAAUCCACCUGGGGAGUACGCCGGCAACGGUGAAACUCAAAGGAAUUGACGGGG